UACGUAGGGUGCAAGCGUUGUUCGGAAUUACUGGGCGUAAAGGGCGCGUAGGCGGACAUCUAAGUCAGGGGUGAAAUCCCAGGGCUCAACCCUGGAAUUGCCUUUGAUACUGGACGUCUCGAGUUCGGGAGAGGUGAGUGGAAUUCCGAGUGUAGAGGUGAAAUUCGUAGAUAUUCGGAGGAGCACCAGAAGCGAAGGCGGCUCACUGGCCCGAUACUGACGCUGAGGCGCGAAAGCGUGGGGAGCAAACAGG
rnacentral:rRNA from 1 species